GACAAGUACUGAGACACACAAACACGCUGUUAAUGAAGGGAGAAAAUGUAACAUGAUGACUGUAUCCUGGAAGACGGGAGAUAAGAAGUAAAAUAAAUCAAUUUGAAUUUCAUUGUACAACUCAUACUCUUAUAUUUAGAUUCCCCCUACUGAGAGUACAAUGUCGACCAGGAGCGAGCAUUAAUCUGGCCUGACUAAAUGCCACCGUUCCUCUGCUGCCUCAAUGUUCAUUACUUUGUGUGGAGGAUGAACGAGGCUGGAAAAGGAGUGCCUAGUGACUCAGGUAUUUUGCUCUACCUUAGGCAGCUGACUCUACUUGGAGCACUAAUUACGAUUGGUAUUCCAGCGGCGCAGAGUGGUAGCACAGAGGUGAUUAAUGAGAGGCGGCCAGUGGUGCAACGAGGCGCGGGUGGCGGGGGAGGCGCCUAGCGGUAGGAAAUGAGUGAUGACGAAUGCCUUUGAUUAAAACAGUUAAAAGUCGCGGAUCCACGAGAAGGAAAUGAGUGAGAUACUUUAGAGGCGAGUAGAAGUGAAGGCAGAGGUGAUGGUGACGGGCAGAGGCAGUCUGGCCAGGAGGCGGGAGGGGCAGCGGGCCGGGUCUGGCGGGUAACGGUUAAGUGCGGGGUCAGCGGGCAGAUGGCGGUGGUGUGGCGGGACGGCUGAGGCCCGCAACUCCGCCUCCCGCUUCAGUCGUGCCCGAGACACCAAGUCGUUGGGAUCUGCUCCCGCGUCAGGACGCGCCCACUCUCGCCCACUGAAUGGUUCUCGGCACUUUAAGGGUCCUUGUUGUCUUUGUGGUGUCUGAUAAGACGCGGCUCGCCAAUAACUCCGACUAAUUGCACAGUUCGUCUCCCUGUACGGCGGUGGUCUUCCUGCCUCGGGUCCCUCUUAAUCAUGUAGUGAUGGUCCCUCGCGGAGGAGGAGCCGCAGGGGCUUGUCCCGACGUGGCAUUCGACAGUGUCGAACAAGUGGCCGGUCGAGCUCGGGGCUGCGGUGCCGCGGUGGGGAGUGUGGGGCGUUACAGACACCUGGUGAGCGUGAGUGUGGGUGCGCUCAGUGGUGCUGUGUGGCAUGCAAACUUCACCGUCGGGGAUUAUCUACCAUCACUGCACAAAACACUGCCCGCUGCCCUCAGCACUCCGUUUAAAUUAACUCCCCUCACCAUAUCUCUAGACCAACUUCGCCGAGAGAGAUUUUCGCCACAGCUGGACAUCUUCCUCUGGCACGGCAGGGAGGGCCCCGCGGAACACCCGUGCAGGAAGUGGGAAAAUGUUAUACGACCACCAGGGUGAAGCUUGAAGGAAAAUUAUAAAGAAAUAAUAAUAAUAAUAAAAAGCAAUCACACGAAUAAAAAAAAUGUAGGCUUGGGAACCUUACACACAUAUAUGCCGGGAAAAAAAGAGCGUGCACGCACACACACACACACGCACGCACGCACACACACACAUACACACACACACACACACACACACCAAUCUGUUAAAUAUUACUCGGCGGAUAAGUUACACAAAGUUACACGCACACAUCCGGGAACGUAGAGUGAAUUAUAUUGCGUGUUUGCAAGGUGUCUGUCUAGUUAGAUAAAAUUUACUUGCAGGUAUGGUCAGCAGCGAAGGAUCAGCGCCCCAGGCCGCUGCUCAUGCAACCACGCACGCCUUGGUCCCGGGGCGGAGCCCUGCCCAGUGUGCGAGGCGCCAAACGCCCGCCACGCCACGCUCCAGGAGGGAGACGCGGGCCACGCAGUCUUGUCUCUCACAUCUCUCGAGGACUGUAUAUUCUACCUCCCUUUCUGACCAUCUGCCGAGAACUUUGUCCUGAUAGAUUUUUCCCCCAGUAGUUAUCCAUAGUGUCUUAACUUUUUUUUUUUUUUUUCGUAAUCGCUAAUCUACAUUUAACUUGAGGUACAAUAUACCUUCAACUUGCCCAUCUUUCAUAAAAAAAAAAAGUGACCACUCUCAUCUUUCAAACUACCUGCCGGAGACUUGACUUCCUGCCAUUCCGAAACCUUGGGCUCCAACCUCAUUUGGAAGUGUGCCAAGCAUCCAUCAGCUCACAAUUAUCUAUCUGAUCGACAGCGGAGAUUUCGCAGAUGGUGUUGCACCAAGACCUCGAUCAUUCUCUCUUAAGGGGUUUCAGCGAUUUUUUCUUUUUUUAAUGUACUGCCUUACACAUUUAAAACCUCUUAUAGAUUUUACUAGAAAUCUUCGAUUUUCAAACUAACUUUACAAUUUUCAUCUCUCUCUUAGUAACUUCAUGAUUUUUAUUCCUUUCUGCAGGGUGUAUUAACAGAGAAUCAGUCACUAGAAUUCCACACGCUUCUAGUCUGCUGCCACCGAUCAUCCUUUCACUAAUAAGUAAUCUUACUUAACCUUGGUGUCCUAUAUGUUGCAAAGCGAGUAACUAGCACCUUAUAAUUUGCAAACUCCACCAAACAGACGAUCCUCUCAACAGGAACUGUAUCACUCAAAAAGACGCUGUACAAUGCCUUACCUCUGAUUUUUCAGUAAUCUCUAAAAAGAAUGAGAAGAAUCUGGCAGACUAAAAUGCCUAGAGCUAAAUUCAUUCAUUAACAACUACUUGCAACCAUAAAAACAACUAUCUCCUGUUUUCUAACCUUCAUUUGUUCCUUUCUUCCAUAUCUUCUUGCACUGCUUCCAUAAUAAUAUCAACUGGAAGUUAUACAUCUCAUUUCUUGCUACAUCAGCAGAUGCUGACGCUGUACAAGUACCGCGUGCACCCAUGUAUGGAGCGCACCAUUCAUUGCGCUGACGGGCCGAGGAGAUCCACUCACACACUUUCUAAGAAGGGUGGAGUCGAAGACUACUCGUCUCAUCAACUCCUCUUUAUCAACUGUCAUCAAUUUCUCAAGCACGCCCGCACUGCUGCACUCCUUGCUGUCUCCCACCAAUAUUUUCAUGUAUAUUAUUCUUUCGAACUCGCCAAGGGCACACCUAUCCCGCCCUCCCGUGCCUUCCUGCUGCACAACAUCUAUAUAAUCUCACAUGUAGGAGCAGACUACACCUUGUUCACUUCCGCGUCCCUCUCAGUGAUAAGUUUUGGAAACUGUUUUGUUACUUGGACUCGUGCAGAAAGCAUGAUGACACCUCACGAUUUAACCUUUGUCUUAUUCAUAAAAGGGACACCAUUCUAGGACUGCAGAACUAUUUAAAUAAAAAAUAGAUUAAUAAAUAAUAACGGUCUAAAAAGCACACAGCAGAAUAUACUGUUUCAUUUCCGAUUUAUACUGACAUUCUUCAUAAAAAAGUGGUGGGGAAGGGAACAGAAAAAAUAAAUAAAUGAAGUGGACACAGGAGUGAACAUAUGUACUCUUUAAACUUUAUAUUAUGAAAACUGGCAGAGCUGGGAUAUAAGUACAGGAAGUCAUGGACAGAAACAUGUUUCGGAGGGAGACAGAUGCACAGAGAGAACAUGUUCAAGAAAGCAGACCGAAGACAGUAACAUACGCAACACUACGACAAACUAAGAUAGACAGAUGCAACACUGCGGCUCGCUGGGAGAGAUUGACGAGUCUAAAGGUAGUAACAGAGGCAACACUGGCAGACUGGGGGAGGUGUAAGAGACUAAGUUAAAGGACAGUUGACAAAAAGAAAAAAAAAUCAAAUUUACCUUGCCAAGAAGUACCGUGUGAGUGAAACCCGACUCAAGGCGCACUACAAAACACAAGGAUGAACAUUGACUUUCUAUACAUCUAGCGACUGGGAGGGAGGGAGGAGUGAUGGAGAGGUUACAAUCCACUCAUCCUCGUGCAAAAUUACACAAGGUCUAAAAAGAAUUAAAAAGAAAUAUCAAGUGAAAUCCCCCCACCCCUCAAGAACGUUCAGUGCAGAGGAGCUUAGUGUAAUGCUUAGAUGUGAUAAAUGUGAGGAAAAUUGUCACUGCAAGCAAAAAGAAUCAAAAUUUAGCUGCACCGUAGACUACCAAGCUUUCAUGUUCCGCUCACAAAACACUGAAGGCAAACGUUACGAGUUCAACAGCGUCUUUGCCAUUUAGUCCCUGCCGAGCGUCAUCCAGUGUGUCGAAAGCUGUGAAAGUUGAAAAGGACACAUGUUCAAUAGAGAUAAUUCACAACUAACACGAAGGUCGCGGCUAAAAAGACAGACCCAUGAGAAACACUGACCAUCCCCCACCACAGAAACAGAGAGAGAGAGAGAGAGAGAGAGAGAAAGGACGGAGUGAAAGCCAAACAGAUUUUCGUCAGACCAUCAAAGGCUUCCUAUAACUCUCAGGUAACGGCAAAGGUGUCAUAAAAAUCCCCAGGUGAGAGUGACUAAGAUCCAAUAAAAAAAAAAAAAAUCUCAGCAGCACACAGAUCAAACUAGCCAUCAGUUCUCGAAGGCUUCUCACCGCUGCAUCUUGACGACGGAAACCCUUUAAACACCAUAGAAAAAAAAACAAUAAUAAAUAAAUAAUGAUCUAUCUAUAUACUAAACCGGCCACCCCAAAGCACCACACAUUCAAAGACAAGAGAAAACACUACAUAAUAAUAAUAAGCACAAUAAUAAUAAUAAUAAUAAUAAUAAUAAUAAUAAUAAUAAUAAUAAUAAUAAUAAUAAUAAUACAAUUGACGUAGGAAAACUUAACAUACUGGUAAAUUUACUGAGUGGUGGACAGAUUCAAUACUCCUUGUACUCAUCAUCCACACAAUACUGAACAAAAGGUUUCAAUUCUGGGACAAUUAACAUGCACUUUUUUUUUUUUAACACGAUCUGACCUAUGCCCAGUCAACAACCCCGCAGUGUGAUCAUCAGGACCAGGAACCCCAUUCUUAGAUGUUUCACAGUCUUAUCUCAGGUGGUUUUAAGACCCGUAUUUUGAAAUAUUUCUGCCCCGCACGUGACCUAUAUCAAAAAGGUUCUAGUUGAAGCCACACGGGUUUUUAAGACUGUUUUUUACGGUUUUAGCGAUAGAGUAAUGAGAUUUCUACUACAUCAUUUAAAGGAGAAACAGUCUUCAAAAUCCGGCUGAUCAUCUCUGUGGCCUUUGAAAAUUGUCGUGGUUAGAGCAAAACGUUUCUGAACAUGGGCCUAAACCUCUCGUGGCAGUUAUUGGUUUUUUCAUGACUUCAGCAAGUUUAACAAGGAUCCUACAUCACCAAUGGAAAAAGAAACACUUAUGGAAUCUCGAAUAAUCUUUGUGGCCUUUGAAGAUAUCCCUGAUGAUAGAACAAAGCCUUUAAUUAACGUGACAGACCCAGGAAAAGACGCUACUCCGAACAAAGGACAGGAAAUACUGCGUUACUUUGGAGAGCUGUCAGGUGACCGUCACGCUGGCUACACUGCCUCCACCCACACCGCCACCUUCUGUUCCCAGUGGGCUUGUCAGACGACACCCACUCAUGAUGUGUUUUUCUAAUGCACUCUACUGCUGAUCUACACACUUUUUUUUUUCUUAUCGCGCGACUCACUAACUUACGACUAUUAAAAAGACGUUAUUAGUGUUGAGUGAGUAGAGAGCUUUAAAAGAUAAGAUAGAUUUAUGGACAAGGGGUGAUAGUUGAGUAUAAGUAUGAAUAUUUUAUGCAGAGAUUGUCACGUGUAAGUCUGCUGGCUUUUCCUGCUUUCUUUUGUUUUUUGUUCUUAAAUCCUGACGUAACAUCCAUUUUUUAUCUAUAAUAAUAAUAACAAUAAUAAUAAUAAUAAUAGUAACAGCAAAAAAUGAUAACAAUAAUGAUAAUAAUAAUAAUAAUAAUAAUAAUAAUAAUAAUAAUAAUAAUAAUAAUAAUAACAGCAAAAAAUAAAAGUAGCAACAAUAAUAAACAUGUACAUAUGACAACAUACAUCCCUUGUUUGUUUGUUUGUUUGUCUGUGUUUAUCCCUAAUAUUCUCAAAGAAGGCCAUACCAACGCUCAUCACUAUCACCACCCUUCACCCCAUCACCACACCGUCAGCACCCGUCACGCAUCACCCCUCAUCACCACUCAUCACUAUUCACAAUCACCCAGUACCGCUCUCCGCAAGCUAUCCCUCUCAUCACAGAUCACCCUCCCAGCAUCACAGCGUCACUCCAGCAGUCGCGUCACCACUCCCCACCCUCCCUCCACCCAGCUAUAGUUAACAGUUGCCUAAUUUAUCACGUCAUGGGUUUCAGAUUGUGAGGACGGACAUUCUAGCGUCAAGUUUGGCCUCACUGACAGACUAAGGCGGUAUUUUAGAUGAUCACACCAGGACUGACCAUAAUGCCACGAGUACAUUAGUAAAACAAAAGCCCCGGAGUUUGAAAUGCUUUGGGUUUUCGUAAGAGGUAUUUCCUGUUAUUCUUUUUACCAACUCCGUGUCACAUACAAUAACGAAACUUACUUAUCAUGUAGGACACACUGUGGCCUUGACGUAAUUGUAAAAAAAAAUAUUUUGUGGGAGGAGUCUAAUUAUGGCUGUAUUAGUUCCAAGAAUGUAGGGGCAGGAAGGAGAGAUGGGUAGUCGGGUUUUUAUUAAUGUUUUGCUUAAUGGUGAUGUAAAAUUUUUAUGCAAACUAUGACUAAAAUAACGAAAACACCCAAAUAACUUGUAAUUUAGCCUGUUAAAGUACGUAAUUGAGACAAGACAUCGUUGAGCUCGAGAAAUCAGUCAAAGAUAACACGCCAUUUCUCAUAACAAGCGUGACAUGUAUUUACCUUCCAUCGUCUGCCUCCCGCUGUCCCUGCCGCUAUAGACGACUGUCACACCAUGUGGGACUGUCACGAUGCACUAAGACCCACUGGCAAUGGAGGUCGCAAACGAAUAGGACAGUAAUGACAGCACACGCCUCAUCCCCUGCAGCGACGCCACCACUGCCUACCUCAGCUGUUAGCCGUCAAGGACAGGGGAGGCAGAGGGCGCCUCAAACUGUCUCGGUUCAAGUUCUCGUCAGCUUCUAAUAAUGUGUCUCUUAAAUCUCUAGUUAGACUAUUAUGGUACUAUAUUGUAUUUUCUAGCAUAUAUCUCUUCAGUGUAACCGUUUCUAAAUGAGCGGUGUGAAGGACAACAUGAUUUUAAUAAGACAUGAGGAAUUUUUGUUGUGAAGCUCCGCGGGAGGGUUCGGACCACCGCUUUGUUUACUGUUGGGUCCGAAUUCCUGCACGUCUCACUGACAACCUAGCGAUUCCUUGUAUGGAGCGCUGCCUAGUUAACCCCUCGGGGAGCUAAAGAGGAGAUUCUAAUAGGACAAACUGAUGAUAUGUCCUUUGUUUAAUCUUUAUUACCUGCAUACUGAUUGUACUGUAAAUAAAUGUUCGCUUCAGAUAAAUUAAGAAGCCACACCAUUGGUUACAUCUUAAGUGAAUGUGAUUGUUACUACUCUUCUGGAUUUAAUAGUACGUAAUAGUAUUAAGGUAAUCCGUCAGUGAAUCAGCGGAGUGUAGUGGCUGAAAACAGUGCCUUUACAAGAGGGUAUUUAAGUGAGAUGCCAUGAUCUGUUGCUAGUGAAAUACGUUAAACUGUCUGAUGCAUGAUUAUAAAUCUUUACGUAUGAUGAAAGAGCAUAUGUUAUUUAUCUUUUUUUUUUUUUUAAUGCAAGAACGCCACUGGCCAAGGGCAAAUUGUAUAAAAAAGAAAAAAAAAAAAGACCUACUUAAUGUCAGGUCCCAUAGAGAAUUCCAAAUAAAAAAAAUCAAAUAACG